UGUGUCCCCCCGUUCACCCCACUGCUCGCCAGCGAAGGAUGCCGGUGCUUCAGGUCCACAGCAAAGUACCUGUUCACCGUCCAGCUGCGCCAUUUCCUCUUGAUUUCCGAUUGCACCUUGAGGGAUAUACUUCACAAGGAAGCAGUAGAGGACAGCCACCACAAAGCCCUGCAGGAACACAGAAGAUCAGUGAACACUGAAGCACCAUCACAUUUACUGCAAACAACCCUCCCUGUUUCAGCCAUUAAACCAUUCAGCCCUUGGA